rnacentral:lncRNA from 1 species
CUCCUGGUGCCUCAAGAGGUCAAGGUCGGUAUGGGUUUUAAGCAGGUUGGGUGGAGGUUUGUAGGAGACUCAUGAAGCCGUGUGAUGUUAAUGUGAAGUGGAUUUGCACCGGGAAAUGCCCCCAGAGCUGCGUCUCACACAGCCUCUCCCAUGUGAGUGGCGGGGAGGCAGGGGGCACCAUGGAGCUGGCACCGCCCACCAACUGAGAGCCCAAGGGGAGGCAGGUUGAGAGACAGGGUGGAGCAGGGAGGGGAGGCAGGGGUGGAGCAGGGAGGGGAGACACUUUCAGAAUUUCAGAAGCCUGCUGUGAACACACACGUUCCCGCACACUCCAAGGCAGCUCUCUCCCCAGCAGCCACGUGCCAGGCCCGUGAAACCCUGGGAACGCCCCAGGGACCAGGAGCAGGCUCUGCUGGGAGAGACUCAGGCCCCCGGGUCAGCACAGCCAGGGGCAGCCCCGCUGGCCACAGGGUCUGCGUAGACUCGGGAGGCCUUGUGCUGGCCCGUGAACUUGGCACCUCACUGGUGACCCAGGCAUUCCAGGAACGGCCGCCUGGAAGAACCUGGUCCUUGUCCCCUGGACAUGAGUCCAGAGAAAGAAGGCUCUGGGAUGGAGCCCGCCUGCGACGGAGCAGGGAGACGGAGCGGCAGAGGGCGAGGCAGGACGGCUCUGCCGGAGUCCGCAAGUGGAACACGGGGGCCAGCGGAGGAACGGAGCAGGUGGCGACUCCUCCGAGGUUCACCGUGGCAGGCGAAGCCGUGGAACAGGGUCCUGGGAGGCCACGAGGCUGCCUGCUCCCCACUCCCGCCCCAGCUUCCCACCACCCACACAGGUCUCUGAGUUCAGAGUCUAGAGGGUCCCGGGAAGAGGCCAUUGUUGAGGGACUAGCCAAAGCUCAGUACUUCAAAGACAGUGACAUACGCCAGCCUCCUGGGUCGGGUGUUGUUACCAGUGAGCUACCAUGUGUCUCCGUGUUGGGUUACAGGGCUCCACUGGGGGCUUGUGCCAAUCCACAUCAUCUCUGACUGCUUUAAUUGCAAGUAGUUUCUCUGAUUCAGUCCGCCUGGUCCUCCACAAGUGCUGGGCCCCAGGACCUUCUCACUCUAUUGCACACAACUUGUUCUUUGAGUAAACACUUUCGUUCCAGGAACAAACCCGCAGCCUCUCUCCGCAUCGUGCGCUGACCAAGCUUUUCCCUGCACCCUAUCUGGGCCCCCGAAUCAGGUGGUUCAGGGUCUCCCCGUCAG